AGUGGAAGUUGAACACUGCUUCCACGUGCUCCUGAACUAAAAAUGGGGUCUGGACAGUCCAACAGAGGCAAACUAAACUGUCUGCACUCUACAACUAAGAAAACUUUGUAUCUGGAAACUUUAUAGAUCUGCCAAUGGUUUAUUUGCAGAAAGGACCUAGGAACUUACUAUAAAAGAACUCACCAUCUUUUAGAGGUCCUGGCUAUGGAGGAGGGUUCCAUUCUUACCUGUUGCUCUACAAUGUACAGCUGAUGUUUUACAAUAAAAACAUGGAGUCAUGCUAACUCCCACAUGCCCUACCAUUCACUCUCCCCAAGCCAGUAACAAAGCAGGCAACGCAGCUAAUAUAAUAUUUAGACUAACCGUGAAGAAAAAGAUCUUUCUCCCUUCUGUACUCUGAAUAAAUAAAUUAGUCUGACCAAAUGAAGAAA
rnacentral:lncRNA from 1 species